rnacentral:rRNA from 1 species
CACGUAGGGCGCAAGCGUUGUCCGGAAUUAUUGGGCGUAAAGAGCUCGUAGGCGGUCUGUUACGUCUGCUGUGAAAACCCAGGGCUUAACCCUGGGCUUGCAGUGGAUACGGGCAGACUAGAGGCAGGUAGGGGAGAAUGGAAUUCCCGGUGUAGCGGUGAAAUGCGCAGAUAUCGGGAGGAACACCAGUGGCGAAGGCGAUCACCUGGGGUUGUUCUGACGCUGAGGAGCGAAAGCUAGGGGAGCAAACGGG